rnacentral:rRNA from 1 species
UACGUAGGGCGCAAGCGUUGUCCGGAUUUAUUGGGCGUAAAGAGCUCGUAGGCGGUUUGUCGCGUCUUCCGUGAAAACUGGGGGCUUAACUUCCAGCUUGCGGUGGAUACGGGCUGACUGGAGUGCGGCAGGGGAGACUGGAAUUCCUGGUGUAGCGGUGGAAUGCGCAGAUAUCAGGAAGAACACCCGUGGCGAAGGCGGCUCUCUGGAACGCAACUGACGCUGAGACGCGAAAGCGUGGGGAGCAAACAGG